UGAGUAAGUGGCGCACGGUGAGUAACACGUGACUAACCUGCCCUUCGAGUGGGGAAUAACCUCGGGAAACCGGGGCUAAUACCGCAUAAUACCUACGGGUGCAAACCUGAUGGUCAAACCGGAAACGGGCUUAAGGAGGGGGUCGCGGCUGAUUAGCUAGUUGGCAGGGUAACGGCCUACCAAGGCGACGAUCAGUAGCCGGCCUGAGAGGGCGCACGGCCACACUGGAACUGACAGACGGUCCAG
rnacentral:rRNA from 1 species